rnacentral:misc_RNA from 1 species
UUGCCAGCUUUUCUCUGGUGACGGGUAGAACUGGUCAAAUUCGGUGGACGCUAACUUCGUCAGGAUAUGCCAAUACCGAGCCAAGCCCCCGGCAGCAAGGGGAAAGGUGUAGAGACUAGACGGCCAGCCUGUAAUGGGAAGGUAUAGUCCAGACCACAAACUCGCCUGAGG